rnacentral:rRNA from 1 species
GACGAACGCUGGCUGCGUGCUUAACACAUGCAAGUCGAACGCUGAAACCCUGGUGCUUGCACCGGGGUGGACGAGUGGCGAACGGGUGAGUAACACGUGAGUAACCUGCCCCCGACUUCGGGAUAAGCCCGGGAAACUGGGUCUAAUACCGGAUAUGAGCGCCCCUCGCAUGAGGGAUGCUGGAAAGUCUUUUCGGUUGGGGAUGGGCUCGCGGCCUAUCAGUUUGUCGGUGAGGUAAUGGCUCACCAAGACGACGACGGGUAGCCGGCCUGAGAGGGCGAGCAGGCACACUGGGACUGAGACACGGCCCAGACUCCUACGGGAGGCAGCAGUGGGGAAUAUUGCACAAUGGGGGAAACCCUGAUGCAGCGACGCAGCGUGCGGGAUGACGGCCUUCGGGUUGUAAACCGCUUUCAGCAGGGAAGAAGCCCCUUGGGGUGACGGUACCUGCAGAAGAAGUACCGGCUAACUACGUGCCAGCCGCCGCCGUAA